rnacentral:misc_RNA from 1 species
UUACAAAAUAUUCAAAAAUGGGGUGAAUAAUAAGCCACUGUAUAUGUGUGUUGGGAUUUUUUUUUAAUGUUAAAUGGUGGCAAACAACAACAUAUAUGAAUUUCUACAUACUGUAUUUUUUUGUCAUGAAAAAAGUUAUAAUUAAAUCAUCUAAAAAAUUAUCCACAUAUACUGUAUUCCAGCAACUGAAUUUUUUGUUACAAUAAGAAAAAAAUAAUUACAGUAAAAUAUGGUUAUAGCAAACACACUUAUAAUGAAUUGACGCUUACUGCGAAGUGAUUUUCUUUCCCUAUGACUUUUUUACAUAAUGUGAACUUGACAGUUAUAAUGAAUUACACUUAAAACGAAGAAAAUCACCUGUCCCUGGCAUUCAUUAUAAGUGUGUUUUAUUGUAGUGCUUGUAUUAACAUUAGGGACAUAUAUACCGGUACUAUGUUAUAUACUGUAGAAGCAGAAAUAUUUGUUGAGGAUUUUAUUUCGUUAUUUUCGUUGGCAGUAUUUAUCCAAGAAAUUAAAUUCAUGAUGAAUUUUCAACCAAAGUACACGUACAACUCGAGUGAUUCUUAGUCAAGUUAGUUUGGUGGACACCAAAAAGCAUUUAAUCCUCAUAAAUACAGAGCUUAGAGAUUACGAUAUGACGAGAUUAAAUCCCAACAAAAUUGUAUUUUAUUUAAAAACAGCAGAAUUUUAUCCCAACGAAUGUAUGUGCUUCUACAAUAUAUCUCUGAUGAACAUGCAAGAUAGUACUAAAAAAAUCUGUUAGGAUAAAGGCAUAGUUAAGAUUCUGAUAGAAACAGAAGCUCAAUAUUUGUUUAAAAUAUAGCUGCAUGAUGUAUAAUUGACUUGUUUUUCAUUCAGCAUCUACUAUGUAUGAUUUUUUUUAAAGAGAAGUAUAUUGUUCAUGCCAAUGUGUUUCAAACAACAUGCUACCUGUACUGUUGAUAGAAUUAGAUGUUGUUGUUGCUGUUAUUAAGAUCUUUGAAGUUUAAGAGUUGGUUUCUUUGAGAAGGAGUCAGAAGAGUGCUUAUAAUUGCAUUUUAGAUGAUGAUGCAUUUGUGUUUGUUAAUGCACACAUAUUUCCAGUUGUUAAUUCAAAUACUGUUAUUUGACACAAUAAAUGAUAGUGAAAUUCC